UGCAAGUCGAACGAAGUAGCAAUACUUAGUGGCAGACGGGUGAGUAACAUGUAGGUAUCUGCCCUUUGGCCUGGAAUAACACGAGGAAACUUGUGCUAAUACCGGAUAAGUCUUUACGGAGAAAGCUUUAUGCGCCAUUGGAUGAGCCUGCACUUGAUUAGUUUGUUGGUGGGGUAAUGGCCUACCAAGACUGUGAUCAAUAGCUGAUUUGAGAGGAUGAUCAGCCACAUUGGGACUGAGACACGGCCCAAACUCCUACGGGAGGCAGCAGUGGGGAAUCUUGCACAAUGGAGGAAACUCUGAUGCAGCGAUGCCGCGUGAGUGAAGAAGGCCCUUGGGUUGUAAAGCUCUUUCGUCGGGGAAGAAAAUGACUGUACCCGAAUAAGAAGGUCCGGCUAACUUCGUGCCAGCAGCCGCGGUAAUACGAAGGGACCUAGCGUAGUUCGGAAUUACUGGGCUUAAAGAGUUCGUAGGUGGUUGAAAAAGUUAGUGGUGAAAUCCCAGAGCUUAACUCUGGAACUGCCAUUAAAACUUUUCAGCUAGAGUAUGAUAGAGGAAAGCAGAAUUUCUAGUGUAGAGGUGAAAUUCGUAGAUAUUAGAAAGAAUACCAAUUGCGAAGGCAGCUUUCUGGAUCAUUACUGACACUGAGGAACGAAAGCAUGGGUAGCGAAGAGGAUUAGAUACCCUCGUAGUCCUUGCCGUAACGAUGUGUGUUAGACGUUGGAA
rnacentral:rRNA from 1 species